AUUGAACGCUGGCGGCAGGCCUAACACAUGCAAGUCGAGCGGAUGAAGGGAGCUUGCUCCUGGAUUCAGCGGCGGACGGGUGAGUAAUGCCUAGGAAUCUGCCUGGUAGUGGGGGAUAACGUCCGGAAACGGGCGCUAAUACCGCAUACGUCCUGAGGGAGAAAGUGGGGAUCUUCGGACCUCACGCUAUCCGAUGAGCCUAGGUCGGAUUAGCUAGUUGGUGGGGUAAAGGCCUACCAAGGCGACGAUCCGUAACUGGUCUGAGAGGAUGAUCAGUCACACUGGAACUGAGACACGGUCCAGACUCCUACGGGAGGCAGCAGUGGGGAAUAUUGGACAAUGGGCGAAAGCCUGAUCCAGCCAUGCCGCGUGUGUGAAGAAGGUCUUCGGAUUGUAAAGCACUUUAAGUUGGGAGGAAGGGCAGUAAGUUAAUACCUUGCUGUUUUGACGUUACCAACAGAAUAAGCACCGGCUAACUUCGUG
rnacentral:rRNA from 1 species